UUUCCUUUACAGGAGCAUUUCUUCUGUGCACAGGUUGGACAGAGCAGCUAUAACCAGGAUAAGAAUUUGAGCAGAACUCAGCCUUCCUCAAACCUAAAGAAGCAAUGAAUGCAAAAAGCCAAAUCUGGACAGCUAAAUUACACCAUGGUUACUGCACUGGGGGAAAUUUUCAAGAAGUGCUAAGGUUCAAGGACUAGUGUAAAGCCUUGAUUUCCAGGAUUGUGAGCCAUCCUUAGAAAUCAAUGUAUGCUUUCCGUGUACUCCUCAACUUGCUGUCGUCCGAUACAGGGAAACAUAAAUGUGCAUUAAGGGAUUUGACAAAGUUGUUUAUCGAACACAAAUCGUUAAAAACCAAGGGAAGGAUGCGGAGGCAGCAAUUCCUGUUAUACUUGGGGACAAUGGAUGAUCCCCAGCAAUUUUUUGUUAUUUUGGAUACUAACGCCAUCUCUUGUUUGGAUAACAUCACAUCUGCAGCUGAUCGGCUUUUCUAGCUGCACUACAUCCUUAACCUACAUUAUGUAAAAGCCCUUGAAUUUUGUUAUAUCUUCUUGGAAGUGCAUGCAUAUAACAUCAGUUUGCCUGGAGAAAAGAUUCCAAAUAAAGUAGCGGAACUAAUUUCUAACCUGGCAGCACUAAAAUUAUAGAGAUUAACAAAUUAUCUAUCUCUGAAUCUGGUUGAUUUAGACUUUAUUAUAAAAAUCCUAAUUUCAUUUUUUAUUUGUAUAUCUAGGAAUAGUACACCUGAUGUUGUCAUCAUAAUUGAUGAAAAGCAGCCACAUUAAUAUUUUUUAAUUUCCAUAUAAGCCAUAGCCUACUUGCACCUAAUGCUGAAACAUACAACCUGUCAACAUAAUACAAGCUUGGGUAUUCCAAUUAAGUUAUAACAAAUAUCAAUUUGAAUAUUGAAUUUAAUUUUUCAAGUUUUUUUAGCUGAUGACAGACAUAUAUUUGUAUUACAGUGCGAUAGUGACUCAUUAAAAGUCUUGUAAGUUAUAAAGUAAAUAAAGAAAUGUUUACUGUAGUAUAAUAGUGAUUUAAUAGAUUUGUUGAAUGGUUACACAUUGGCUAGUUGUGAAAUAAAUGUGAAUUUUGAGUUCAA